GUCAAUUACAGCCUGAAGUCUGGAACGCAUAGACAUCACCAGACGCUGGGUUUCAUCCCUGGUGAUGCUCUGCCAGGCCUCUACUGCAACUGUUUUCAGUUCUUGCUUGUUCUUGGGGCAUUUUCCCUUCAGUUUUGUCUUCAUCAAGUGAAAUGCAUGCUCAAUCGGAUUCAGGACAGGUGAUUGACUUGGCCACUGCAUAACAUUCCCCUUCUUUCCCUUAAAAAACUCUUUGGUUGCUUUUGCAGUAUGCUUCGGGUCAUUGUCCAUCUGCACUGUGAAGCGCCGUCCAAUGAGUUCUGAAGCAUUUGGCUGAAUAUGAGCAGAUAAUAUUGUCCGAAACACUUCAAAAUUCAUCCUGCUGCUUUUGUCAGCAGUCACAUCAUCAAUAAAUACAAGAGAACCAGUUCCAUUGGC